CUGGUGCCAGCAGCCGCGGUAAUUCCAGCUCCAAUAGCGUAUAUUAAAGUUGUUGCAGUUAAAAAGCUCGUAGUUGAAUUUCGGGGUUAGUAGGUUGGUCAUGCCUCUGGUAUGUACUGGUCUCACUGAUUCCUCCUUCCUGAUGAACCUUAAUGCCAUUAAUUGGUNUUUUGGGGAAUUUGGACUGUUACUUUGAAAAAAUUAGAGUGUUUAAAGCAAGCUAACGCUUGAAUACAUUAGCAUGGAAUAAUGAAAUAGGACGUUCGAUCCUAUUUUGUUGGUUUCUAGGGAUUGACGUAAUGAUUAAUAGGGAUAGUUGGGGGCAUUAGUAUUCAAUUGUCAGAGGUGAAAUUCUUGGAUUUAUUGAAGACUAACUACUGCGAAAGCAUUUGCCAAGGAUGUUUUCAUUAAUCAAGAACGAAAGUUAGGGGAUCGAAGACGAUCAGAUACCGUCGUAGUCUUAACCAUAAACUAUGCCGACUAGGGAUCGGAUGAUGUUAAUUUUUUAAUGACUCAUUCGGCGCCUUACG
rnacentral:rRNA from 1 species